CGGGUGUAGCUCAGUUGGUAGAGCAUCAGCCUUCCAAGCUGAGGGUCGCGGGUUCGAAUCUCGUCGCCC
rnacentral:tRNA from 1 species